GAGGAGAGAUCGAGGGAAACUCAGGGGUGGCGUCAGGUGGGAGUGCGGAGGGGAUAGGAAGGGAUAAGGGGUACUUGCAUCUAUUCACCAUAUUGUGAAGGGGUUUUCUAUUUCUUCCAAUUGGUUCGUUACAAAUGGUGCUAACAGAGAUAAGAAUAGGGGUAAACGGAUGCUUCAUCUUCAAAUAGUAGGGGUAAAAUCACAAAGUGGAAGAAAAUAGGAGUAAAAUCACAUCUGAGGUUUAGAAUAGGGGCAAGAACACAAUAGUCCCCUAUAUAAAAAUUGAACACAUUGUGGUCAGCGUGCAGUUUUGAGAAUGGAGGUAGUACUUACGGCCCAACAAGCUUCU
rnacentral:lncRNA from 1 species